AUUUAGGUAGUUUAUGUUAAAAAAUUUUGGAUUGUGGUUCCUUAGAUGCUCUAUUAGUUAGCCUUAGGUA
rnacentral:tRNA from 1 species